rnacentral:other from 2 species
ACGAGGCUGCACGGUGCGACAGGAUACUGAAUCCCCGGGGCCUUAACGAUCUUAACGGGAGCUGUCCCCGGUUGAACCCCUGGGUUCUUCCACACGGCGCCCACCUACUCUGUAGGUUCCCGGGAUCGUUACAUCCAUCGGCUGCGGUGGCUUCGUC